rnacentral:miRNA from 1 species
GUGGGUUGCGGAUAACGGUA